ACACGUCUACAUUAGAUACCCCCGUAGUCCCAGCCGUAAACUAUGCGCGUUAGGUGUAUCGGUGACCACGAGUUACCGAGGUGCCGAAGGGAAACCGUGAAACGUGCCGCCUGGGAAGUACGGUCGCAAGGCUGAAACUUAAAGGAAUUGGCGGGGAGCACCACAACAGGUGGAGCCUGCGGUUUAAUUGGACUCAACGCCGGGAAGCUCACCGGAUAAGACAGCGGAAUGAUUGCCGGGCUGAAGACUCUGCAUGACUAGCUG
rnacentral:rRNA from 1 species